rnacentral:lncRNA from 1 species
CAGCUGGAGGCUGGAUGGAGUUCUGUUCUUUGCACUACUCACUGAGCGCCUCCCAAGCGACACUGCAAAAAAAACCCACACGUUUGGAUAAUGAUAAAUUUGCAUGCCCGGAUAACCUUACAUUUGAGAAUAUUAAUUACUGCAUGAGUUUGUGCUGCCCUGGAGUAUUCACAGCUGGGUGUUCUCUCAGCCUGGAGAAUCUUAGAAGUGGGUGAAAAUCAUCACAGAAGUCUGUUGAAAAAAGGCAGGGAAAAAAAAAAAAACAGAAAGAAAAGCAGGCCUCCCAAAGGCUGUGGUGGAACCCAGCAUUAGCAAAUGCUUCUAGGAAGUUUGACCGAGAGCCAUAUGGCAAUGUGGGGAGUAUUAUCCAUUGCUCCAAAAGUUGGUCUCUGAAUCAGCCUAUUGACUUCAGCAGCACUUAAUCAUGUGCUUCAGUUCUUCUUUGAAAAGGGUUGCAUUCCUGAAUCAUGUCCUCUGAUUUUAACCACUAGACGGUACUUUGUUUUGUGGUAGCAGACAAGUCCAGUCAUAUUUCUGUGACUAAGUUUGCGAGUUCUGACUGCACUCCCAGUGAAGUACGCUGAUGAAUAUUCUUCCUCUUAUCAAAUUUGAAACAUUUGCCACUGUUCUUGAAUUUUAGGCUCAAACCAUCCGGUGUCUUCCUGCAGUGCAGCUGGUGGGGCAGCACAGGACAGUGUGAUUUCAUAUGCCUGCCUGUAGAGCGGUGUGAUGUAAAUAAACAUGGGUGAAACCAGUGAUCUCCAAAUAUUGCCCUGAAUUCUGCUUUCAGAAGCCCUGAAUGUUGGUGGUGGUGAUUGAAUCCAUACAUUAAGGCAAGAACCAGUUGUGCUGGUCCGAGUUGAGUUGUGUUUGGAUGCUGGAGUACGUCCUGGAUGCUCACACACUGCUGUGCUGCGUCAGGGAUGAGCUGGACUGGUUUGGGGCUGCUCUGCUGUGCUGCAGGAAAGGAAAAGGGGGAGAUGAGAGCUCUGCAGGCUGCUCUUGCUGCUCUCCUUUUGCUGCGGUGACGUUGUUUGGUAAACAGCCCCAUCCCGAGGUGGGACCCUGGGGAGCUGUGGCUGCUCCAACCCCUCUCCCUGGGUAUUCACAGGACUCCGAGGACGAGCAAGCAAGCAUUUUGUCUGCACUUGUGUUUUGUCUCCACUUGCAACCAGUUUCUAACUGCAACACUCCUUGCAAGGAUGCACUGAGUUCAUGGCUUUGCGUUCUCUAGACAGGCUGUAUUGUAGUCUGUAUCAAGAAGGC